AGCCAUCCUUCCCUUUGUCCCGACUCCGACGCAUGCGCCAACAUCGGUGACGUCAGCGGCCUCGGACCUUCCAAAGGCUAUAAGAAGCUGCGUACCUCCGUCGAACUUCAGUGGGCCAGGCAGCGGCACUCCGGGCGAAAUGCUCACCAAACCAUUCGUCUUUGUGGUGCAGGUUAGUUCCUACUUGCCUGCGCCAUGUUACCGCAGUGAUAA